AUUUUGCAGUCUUAGAUAGACGUUAUUUAAAACAACUUGCAGAGGAGAGAAGACGUCUUACUGGAACAGCCAUAAAAAAAAUAAUCAGACGUGCUAUAUAUUUUGAGAAUAUGACCUAUCUUAUUGAAGAAAGGAGGAUUCAUACUUCAGAAAAUUUGACAACUAGAAUCACCCGUGCAUCAGAUAGAUAUGAACAUGGUCUCUCUUUAUUGGGCAUGUGUCGUUUGAUAGCAUUGUUAAUGUGUACAAAAUUCCCAUCAUCUAAUAAAAAAGAUUUUAAGACUGGCUCUAAUGGUACUUGUACCGUAUGGGAUGGAUCAUCAGCCAAAGUAUACAGAGAAAUUGAGGGCACAUGGUGGCAAGUAAGCUUCAAUGACAUAAACAAUAGAGUACAAUUACUUAAGACACAGUUAUAAUAAUUUGGAUCAGA